CCAACCACCAGAACUGAAAAAUAGUGGGUUCAGGAAACAAAAUGCUUCCUAUUAUUAGUCCACCGUCUCCUGACAGAUGAUGCUCUCAGCUUCAGUACCACCUUGCACAGCAGUGGAGACAGCUAGCUAAAAUACCUAACAUAGCAUGACCAUCCAGGAGUGUUUUAUGUCAUCUCUGCAGCUCACAGCUAGCUACAUCAGUGGACAGGUCCUCAGUGAUGUCAUGCGCUUUCAACUGACCGCACAAUGAACAGGUUUUCUACCUGACACCAGAUGCCAAAGAACGAGCCAAAACAAACGGGCUGCCAACAAACUACGGAUGCUGGGAAGAGCCAAAAAGACGCACUUCGCUUUUACGUAGCUGUGUUGCUGGCAUCCGAGGUCAAAGCAAAGAGGAAUCAUGUUUGUCUCCUCAUUAGGUACAUCAGAUAGCUGAGACAAGGCUGGACCAACUUUGCUGCUGUCCUCAACUCCCCCGUCAGUAUGCAGAGUAUGCAAGAUCUGUUCACUGGGGCGUUUCCAAGACUUUCGAGUGGCAAUCCAGAGGAUUAGUGCUCCAAAAACCACGAGGAGGAGUCCCAGGACGUUCACAAAGAUUGCCUCUGGGGGAGAGUCCUUGUACUUUGGGUCGCUCCUUAGAAAGAAAGUACAAAAAAUAAAGUUAUGCACACUCUUAAGCAGCAUUAGUACUGUGCAACUGGUUUAAAAGCUUGUAUUCCUUUUCAAAAUACUUACAGACUAAAAAUGAGUUUCUCUGUGAUGCCCAUGAGUGCCACAGCUAUUAUGCUGGUGAAAAGGAAAAGACCUCCGUAGACAUGCAGGGGCAUAAACGCUGCUCUCCAGGAUGCAGGUGUAAAUGGCAUCAAGUACAUGCCAACUCCAAGAACAAGCUGCUCAUUGAAGGAGAAAAAACAUCCUCUUAUCAGAUAACACACUAAAAAGGACUUUUGUUCACGAUGACUUGGCAUUUUAGAGAAGGUCAAGUGUUUUUUUCCCAGUGUGUUAGUAAACCUGCUUAUGUGUUGUUUUGAACCAACCCUUAGCUCCAUAAAAGAAAGAGGUACAAAAUAUAACAGUGGUUUUAACAAUAAAGCUCAUUUAGGAUAUGCAAAAGGCCAAACUGUGUAUUAUUUAUAGCAGCAAUAUAAAUACUGCUAAAUGAAACCAGGAGCAUUUGUUUGUAGACAUUUUUCAAUAUUUUCUGACAUUUUAUGGACCAAACUAAUAAUCCUGAUGAAUCAAUAAACAUUAGUUGCAGCCAUAUUUACCUGCA